rnacentral:rRNA from 1 species
AGUGAACGCUGGCGGUAGGCCUAACACAUGCAAGUCGAACGGCAGCACAGUAAGAGCUUGCUCUUACGGGUGGCGAGUGGCGGACGGGUGAGGAAUACAUCGGAAUCUACUUUUUCGUGGGGGAUAACGUAGGGAAACUUACGCUAAUACCGCAUACGACCUACGGGUGAAAGCAGGGGAUCUUCGCACCUUGCGCGAUUGAAUGAGCCGAUGUCGGAUUAGCUAGUUGGCGGGGUAAAGGCCCACCAAGGCGACGAUCCGUAGCUGGUCUGAGAGGAUGAUCAGCCACACUGGAACUGAGACACGGUCCAGACUCCUACGGGAGGCAGCAGUAGGGAAUAUUGGACAAUGGGCGCAAGCCUGAUCCAGCCAUACCGCGUGGGUGAAGAAGGCCUUCGGGUUGUAAAGCCCUUUUGUUGGGAAAGAAAAGCAGCAGGUUAAUACCCCGCUGUUCUGACGGUACCCAAAGAAUAAGCACCGGCUAACUUCGUG